rnacentral:rRNA from 1 species
GACGAACGCUGGCGGCGUGCUUAACACAUGCAAGUCGAACGAUGAAGCCUUUCGGGGUGGAUUAGUGGCGAACGGGUGAGUAACACGUGGGCAAUCUGCCCUGUACUUUGGGAUAAGCCUUGGAAACGGGGUCUAAUACCGGAUAUCACUUACCUCCGCAUGGGGGUUUGUUGAAAGUUACUGGCGGUACAGGAUGAGCCCGCGGCCUAUCAGCUUGUUGGUGGGGUAGUGGCCUACCAAGGCGACGACGGGUAGCCGGCCUGAGAGGGUGGACCGGCCACACUUGGACUGAGGACACGG